AGGGUUUUAGCUUAAUUAAAGUGUUUGAGUUGCAUUCAUAAGAUGUGGGAUAAAGUCCUGCAAAUCCUAAUUA
rnacentral:tRNA from 2 species